AGGCCACACCCAUUGACACAAAGCUUGUGCACUUUCUUGAAUGCUUUCCUAUCCAAAAAUGACUCUGUGGCCAAAGUUGGUGUUCUUACUACUCCUUGGAGGUGUCCAGUCAGAGGAGAAGUUGGUGGAGUCUGGAGGGGACGUGAGAAGACCUGGAGGGUCCCUCCGCCUCUCCUGCCAAGCCUCUGGAUUCACCUUCAGCAGCUCCUACAUGCACUGGGUGAGACAGGCCCCAGGGAAAGGACUGGAAUGGGUUUCAGAGAUACAUCCAAGUUCAUCUGGGAUUACAUACUCAGACAAAGUGAAGGGACGCUUCACCACCUCCAGAGACAAUGCCAAAAGCCAGCUGUAUCUGCAGAUGAACAGCCUCAAAGCUGAAGACACGGCUGUCUAUUACUGUGCUAGAGACACAGUGAGGGGAAGUGAAUCUGAAGCCAGACAAAAACCUUCCUUUCCUCAGAGCCGCUCAGCAACUUGAUUCAAUUGUGGAUCCUGGUUUAGUCAAUAAGGAUGGAUCACCAUCCAUUGAGAAUUUUAGGAAUCUUUUGUUCUAGGAAUCCAGUUAGAGACUUUACCCACCAAAACUGAAAAAUGAUAAAAAUGGCUUGAAAAUUCCAGUUUCAGCUUCCUCGUUUACCAGGUGAGGGUAAACCUAAUGUGGAUUUUGUAAUUUGUUAACUAACACAGUUAUUUGUUUUGUAAUUUGUUAACUAACACAGUUAGUUUGCAUUUUCAUUUGAUUUAUUUCCUCUUUUUUUAAAAUGAUGUUCAGGUUUAUUAGCUUUUAACAUCCCUAAAUUGAUAAAUAGGCUUGAGAUUAUCUCCAGAUAAGAAAAAAAAAGUUUGUUACUACAAAUUGAGGUCUGUUUUUUUUUCUCUUUUGUGAACUCCAAGCAAUCUUUUGCCUUGCAAUGUAUGCCCCUUCUGACAUCAGACUUCAUUUUAAUGAACAUGUGUGAUAGUAUAGGUUGCAAAUAUGUAACAGGUUUGACUACAUGUAACUGAUUCCCUAUGUAAAGGGGAGAUUACUUUUAUCCUGCCCCAUCAACUUUCCUCCUGCAUUUUCUUUGUUGUGUUAACUCUAACAGGGAAUAUAAGAUGGGUCUUGGGGUUCUCUCUAUCCUUUUUCAGAGAGAGAGAGAGAGAAAGAGAGAGAGAGAGAGAUCCCAUUUUAUCAAGAUAUCCUAAAAAACUACUUUUAAAUGAUCUUCCAACUCGGUUGCUUAUUGGGAAGGUAAAUUGAGGCAGAACUUAGGGCCAGAUUUGGCUAUCACCGAUGAUCUGGCUUCAGAAACAUGAGAUAAAUUUUUACCAAUGGUUAGGAAAACAAACUAGUGAGAAAUGAACGUGAUCUGUUAUUUUGAAUAUAUAUUAGUAAGAAGAACGAUAUGUAUUGACGAUCUGAUACUGUUUAUGAUUAUUGUUUUAUCAUAUUCACUACAGCUAUUUACUAUUAUAUUAAUUAGUGUUAACUGAACAUAUGUACCCAAAUAAUAGUCUGUUUGCUAAAACUUGAAAAUGUUACUGGGGGGCAACCCCAAUGUUGUUCCCAAUCCUGUCCCAACCCCAAUCCUAA